GAUGAAGAACGCAGCGAAAUGCGAUAAGUAAUGUGAAUUGCAGAAUUCAGUGAAUCAUCGAAUCUUUGAACGCACAUUGCGCCCGCCAGUAUUCUGGCGGGCAUGCCUGUUCGAGCGUCAUUUCAACCAUCAAGCCCCCGGCUUGUGUUGGGGACCUGCGGCUGCCGCAGGCCCUGAAAACCAGUGGCGGGCUCGCUAGUCACUCCGAGCGUAGUAAUACAUCUCGCUCAGGGCGUGCUGCGGGUUCCGGCCGUUAAAAAAGCCUUAUUUACCCAAGGUUGACCUCGGAUCAGGUAGGAAGACCCGCUGAACUUAAGCAUAUCAGUAAGCGGAGGA
rnacentral:misc_RNA from 1 species